AACCUUCUAUUCCAAUUCCAAAAACGUCUGGGACUCUUUCGAUCGAUUUGUUCCUUCUUCCUCUGCAUCUUCGUUCAUCGACGAUGGAUGACUUCACGUUAUGGUGUAUGCGGCUGUGUCCAUAUUCGCCGGAAGGGUGAUACUCGCGGUGAUUGGUUUUGCUUUCUGAUGACCCUUCACAGUGGUCGGGUUUGAUUAAACGGUAUACUGUGGGAAAGAUUACCCCAAUACAAAGACGAGAAGUUUGGCCAUCGGAUUUUGGAGCCAAAGCAAGCUUUCUCUUUCAUUGGGCUUCUAAUUUCUUCGUCUUCUCUCUCUUUCACGUUUGAUUUUGAUUUAGUUUUCAAAGUUUCAGGUUUCAUGGUGUUGGCUCACGCGGAAGAGGAAAGAUCCAUCACCGAUGCAGUUUCUGAUGAUGCGACGGUGUUUUUUAUUACUUUGUAUGAUUUGUUAAAUACUGUUUGGAUAAGCUGUGACGUGAUUUUGAUGUGGG